ACUGGGAGCUGUCCGUGGUGCUAACCACAUCCUUGCUUGCCCUUUUCCGAGACCUGACCUCCACUUGUUACCUUGUUUGUGGAACUUGCCCCUUGCUAGCCAUCCUGGAACCUGAACUCACCAUCCAUAUUCAUGUUUGUGGACCUGCCUUCCUGGAAUUUGACCUGGGCUCGGUCAAACUCUGCUCACCAGUCCUUGCCUUGCCACAGUGAGCUCAAGAAGCCAGUAGCAGGGAGGGGAGGGAGGAGAACAACUGGCUGCUGACUUGCUCUCUGCAUGACCAUGGAUAUGGAGUUAACUACGCAGGAAGUUUACAGAUACUUGGAGGGUGUACUGUGGAGCUGUUACUGCUUAGAGGACACACACAUCAAUGUGGUGUGUCAUGCACCACUCUGGUCAAACCUGAUUUUCACGGUUCUGUAGCUCUCCAGGGCGUAUGUAGGGAAAGGAGAAGCAACGCCACAGGUGUGAAAGUCGCAGGUACUGCCCAACAGGUGCUUGGUGAUGAGUAACACACACUGUGCCUAGGGCAUCUUUGGUUCUGAUUUUUCAAAUCUGAGAAGGAACGGAGUGGUUGUGUAACCUUCUAAAAAUAAAGGAGCAGAGUUUUGAUUAGGAA